rnacentral:siRNA from 1 species
GUAACGUCCUGCCAAACCCGUCCC